rnacentral:rRNA from 1 species
GGACUACUGGGGUAUCUAAUCCUGUUUGAUUCCCACACUUUCGUGCUUCAGUGUCAGAACCGCUCCGGUAUGCUGCCUACGCUAUCGGGGUUCUUCGUAAUAUCUAUGCAUUUCACCGCUACACUACGAAUUCCGCAUACCUCGUCCGGUCUCAAGUCUGACAGUUUCAACGGCAAUUUCCCGGUUAAGCCGGAACAUUUCACCGCUGACUUAGCAGACAACCUACGCACCCUUUAAACCCAAUAAAUCCGGAUAACGCUCGCAUCCUCCGUAUUACCGCGGCGGCUGGCAC